UACGUAGGGUGCAAGCGUUGUCCGGAAUUAUUGGGCGUAAAGAGCUCGUAGGCGGUUUGUCGCGUCUGCUGUGAAAACCCGAGGCUCAACCUCGGGCCUGCAGUGGGUACGGGCAGACUAGAGUGCGGUAGGGGAGAUUGGAAUUCCUGGUGUAGCGGUGGAAUGCGCAGAUAUCAGGAGGAACACCAAUGGCGAAGGCAGGUCUCUGGGCCGUAACUGACGCUGAGGAGCGAAAGCGUGGGGAGCGAACAGG
rnacentral:rRNA from 1 species